AAGAGGAAAGGGCAGAUCAUGGUUUACAAAGCUCUGUGAACUCUCCAUCACCCCUCACAUUUAUUCUUAAAGCAGUGCUUGAUGAAGAUUUGCUCAUAUGAAAACAUAAAAAUGCCUGUUUCCCUCACCUCUUCCCAGGUUCAUCCUCCCGUACUAUAAAAUGAGGAAAUGGAGCUACAGGGAGGCUAAUUUGCCUGAGGACACAUGUUAAGUUACGGGUAGAGCCAGAUUAUGGAUUCACAUGGUCUCAUUCCAGUGCAACACUGCCUCCUUGGUACUGUGUGGCCAACAGGGUUAUAAUACUGAGUGGCAUAAGAAGAGCUUCUCAGCCAUUACAGAAAAACAUGGAGAGAAAACACACCUGGGACAGCACUGACAGUGUGGUGGCCACUCUGUGAAUACUUGCUGAGCGAGUAAUGAAUGGAGUGAUUCACCUCUCCACAGACUCCUGACUUCUUGACUGCUGUCCCAUGUGAAUCAGGAGCUCUCACUGGGACUUACCAAAGUUCUGACUCCAUCAUGCUCUACUGCAGAGGUUCUGGGAGCCCUCAGGCCAUGUGAGAGCCCUCACACCUCUUAAAAGACUUUUCUUCAUCACCCUAAACUCUAAAGAGUUGUAGCCAACUUUUGGGGGCAGAGGAUCUUAGCUUUAGUUUCCACCUAUCACCAGCAUGUUGGCAAACUUUUUUCCUUGACCAAAUUUUAUUUAUUUUUUAUUUUUUAUUUUUUUAAAAUUUUUUAUUAUUAGUUGUUCAAAACAUUACAUAGCUCUUGACAUAUCAUAUUUCAUACAUUUGAUUCAAGUGGGUUAUGAACUCCCAUUUUUACCCCGUAUACAGAUUGUAGAAUCACAUCGGUUACACAUCCACGUUUUUACAUACUGCCAUACUAGUGUCUGUUGUAUUCUGCUGCCCUUCCUAUCCUCUACUAUCCCCCCUCCCCUCCCCUCCCCUCCCAUCUUCUCUCUCUACCCCAUCUACUGUAAUUCAUUUCUCUCCCUUGUUUUUUUUCCCUUUCCCCUCACUUCCUCUUAUAUGUAAUUUUGUAUAACAAUGAGGGUCUCCUUCUAUUUCCAUGCAAUUUCCCUUCUCUCUCCCUUUCCCUCCCACCUCUCAUCCCUGUUUAAUGUUAAUCUUCUUCUCAUGCUCUUCCUCCCUGCUCUGUUCUUAGUUGCUCUCCUUAUAUCAAAGAAGACAUUUGGCAUUUGUUUUUUAGGGAUUGGCUAGCUUCACUUAGCAUAAUCUGCUCUAAUGCCAUCCAUUUCCCUGCAAAUGCCAUGAUUUUGUCAUUUUUUAGUGAAAAGUAAUACUUCAUUGUGUAUAAAUGCCACAUUUUUUUUAUCCAUUCUUCUAUUGAAGGGCAUCUAGGUUGGUUCCACAGUCUAGCUAUUGUGAAUUGUGCUGCUAUGAACAUCGAUGUAGCAGUAUCCCUAUAGUACUCUCUUUUAAGGUCUUCAGGGAAUAGUCCGAGAAGGGGAAUAGCUGGGUCAAAUGGUGGUUCCAUUCCCAACUUUCCAAGGAAUCUCCACACUGCUUUCCAAAUUGGCUGCACCAAUUUGCAGUCCCACCAGCAAUGUACAAGUGUACCCUUUUCCCCACAUCCUCGCCAGCACUUGUUGUUGUUUGACUUCAUAAUGGCUGCCAAUCUUACUGGAGUGAGAUGGUAUCUUAGGGUGGUUUUGAUUUGCAUUUCUCUGACUGCUAGAGAUGGUGAACAUUUUUUGACCAAAUUUUAGUUAGGCUCCUUUGAACCCUCUGCUUGCUUGGCCUCAACCUUGGCCUGUUGUAUCCAGUUUCAGGAUAAUGUAUGUAAUUUGGAAUUACAUACGUACAUGUAUGUAAUUUCCAAAUUAUGUAAUUUGUAAUAUUAAUCCUGCCACGUCACUUUAGCAAGAAUCCCCCACUCUUAGUAAUCUUUGUCUACUGACUUCCUUACUCUUUUUCUUGGCUAUAAAAUUCCUAACUAUCUUUGUUGUAUUGGAAGUUAAAUCCAAUCUCAAUCCCCAAUUGCAGUAGUCCUGAAAAACGUCUCCUUUGCUGCUUUUAUCAAAUGUCCUGUGCUAUUUUUUUUUUAAACAGCAUUCUCUUGGAUUUCUUCUUUCUUUUGAAAAAGUUUAUUUCUAGAUCUUUUUGUCCAGUCAGUCCUUUGGGCUCACCCCUGUGGUACAUUCUUCUGCCAUGGUGUUUGUUAUGUCAACAUUGAACAAUGUACUUUACUUUCUCUUAAACUAGUAAGACCUUUGGCACUUUGUUAACUAAACAUAUUUAAGUCCACUAGAAAGGUUUAAUAUAUCAUAGCCACAAGAUAUAUCCUAUGUUGUCUCAGUUUGUAAGCUUAUAUUAUUUUCUCAGUCCAUUUUACAAACAUAAGUUGGAAGUUGGUCCUUUGCUUCUCUUUUUAAAUCUAAAUUAGAGGUGGUGAAACAAGGGAUAUUGCCUACUCCCUAAGAUUGUUAUUGCAAAGGAAUAUAAAGACACUGGAGGUAGGAGAAAUUCAGAGGGGGGGGCGGGGGAAGAGAUGGAGUACUGAAUAGAAUGAGCAUAUUAGGAGUCUGACCAAGAAUCUGCAGAACAAGAUGGUUGCUCCAACCGUCCCUCAUGGAGAUGUCAAAGAGAUUUGGAAUUCUGUUGUUCUGGUGAGGUGCUACUAAUGUGAAAAGAGUUUGAUCAUGGUUAUCAGGGGACUUUGGAAACAGGUUUUGGAUUCACUGACUAAUGGGUAAAGUCUGUCCAUGUAGUACUGUGAUGGUCCUUCUGCCAGGAGAGAAAAUGUAUACCAUCUCAGAACUGGAAAGAACACUUCAGGUAGAUAUCAAUGAUUUUGCCUGCCUGACGUUAUUGGACCAGGAUUUUGUACAAUGAUGGCCAUGCCUAGAAGAGGCCAAGAAGACCAAGAUCAGAGUAGAUACAUGCUCCUAGCUAUCACUUCCAUGCUAACCUCAUUCCAGUCCUUGGACGCAGGCAAGCUUUAUUUGAAAUUUCCUGGCUGCAGAAGCAACGACUUAAGGUUCUUUUUAGAUGGUCUUUUUUCCCCUUCAGUAUCAAUUGAGAGGAAAAAAAAAAGAGUCUUUCCAUCAGUUGGGUAUUUCCUUGAUAUUUGAGCAGACAAUUAACAUGAAAUUCCUGAAUGCCAAAUAUGUAAUUUGGAAUAAGAUAUUAAAGAGGAUUUCAACAGUGUCAUAACUGUUGAAUUUCAGUGUAACUAUUUCCAUGUGUUCCUACUGAUGAAUCAACCUAUAUUCAUUUGUUUCAUUAAAAGCAUUUUUUUUCUUUUCACAGUUGUGUUGUUUUUGUAUUACAUUUGUGUUUCUCCUCAUCAUACCACAUAAAAUCUCCUAUUUCCCAAGAGAGCUCAUGAAUGAGAAAAAAGAGGGUGCAAAGCCAAGAAGGGUUGAAUACAGUCAGUUGGACACAGCGCCAGGACUCUCCUCCCGGGAAGGGCUAGCAAGGGUGGAGUGCACAGUAGGAGCAAAAAGUUGCUGAAUCACACAGGCGCUUUUGUUCCCACACUGGGAUAAGAAAAAUCUCGGCAGAGAGAAGAAAGUUUGUUUGCGAGUCUUUUCCAGGGUCACCGGGAUGUCUAAACCACUCCCUGUAGUGGUUUACACUCACAGCAACAUGACAUCUGGCAACUCGACUCUUAAAAAUUCUUCUCUUUGACUCCUGCCAUGACUGCUUCAUCCAGAGCAUUUCACGAAUGGUUUGUCGAUGGUUCAGAAACAGAUGUGUAAAAACGUUUGGAAUAAGGUAACUUCUAGAAUUAGUGAGUUCCAUAUAUUUAUCGAAUGCCCAUUAUGUACUAGGCAAUUUUUUUUUUUUUUUUAGGCAUAAGGAUUGAUUUAUGAGUCCCUGCUCCAUGGAGCUUACAACCUAGUAGAAGCUGAGAAGUGGAGAAGACAGACAUUCAUCAAAGAAGCCAAUAAACAAAUUUGAUGAUUUCUGGUGGUAUUUACAAAGAAAUAGAUCUGGAAUUAUGUCUGAGAAAGAUGAAGGUAUCAGGAUCCAUCCACUAUUCUCUAAGAAGAAACAACAGCAACAAAGCCAGGAAAUCAAACCUACCUAUGCUGCCUGGAGUGAUAGUGGCUUCUUUCCCACACAUGGAUAUGGUGCUGCUUGUCUUUCAGAUUAUAUACCAGAAAUAGCAGAAAGAACCCAAGUUCAAAUUCUGCUUCUGGCAUUUAAUCAUGAGGUGAACUUGGACAUUUCUGAAGUACCAAUGACUUUUGCAACUUGCACCCAUUUCUUCUUCUGAGAAAUGAGCAUAAUAGCUGGCACCUUCCUGUUGGGGCUAAAAUGGUAUCACUCAAGUUGUAGCACAGAAAAGGACCACACCCUAUGUACAGGAAUGGCACUAUGAAAGCUGGAUUAUUUUUUUUCUCUUUUGGAAAACCUGAAGUUGGGAGGACACCUUUUGUGAGUCCCAAAUCAUCAGUGAUCAACAACCUCUUGGUGGUUUGGUUCUUUCGCUCCGAGGGGACUUCAGUGUCGAAGGUGGCCUUGUAGCUGCUUGUCACACAGAACACAUAAACAAUGGUCCCCGUGUUGCCAGUCCUUGGAGUUCUGGAGGGGAAAGCACUUGGCACAACUCAGAGACCUGAACUCAUAAACAGGGAGCAGAAGAAAACAGAGGUUGCUGUUAAAGACACAGUCCCUAACCUCCAUUUACUGAAGUACUUGGCCGAGCCAUCUGACUCAUCACCCUGUACAAGGACAGUGUGACUCACACCAAUAAGCCGGAAGCAGGCCUGAAUUGAGGCAAGGCCAGAGUCAGGACACAACUAAUAGAUGCUGGAAGUGUUGACGGAAACCACUCUUGCAGAGGAACAAUGCGGGCUGAGCUUCAGUUGCCGGCUAUGACAUCAUGACCGAGAGCAGACAGUGUAACAUGUCACACGGAUUCAACCUCUUCACUCGCUGUGCAAAUUUGUGCCAUGAACUGAGCAGUUUUUGGCCUCUACCACCCACUUCCACCAUGAUGUUCUGCCUCACCUCAAACCCAGAACAAUGAAGAUGACUGACCAAGGGCUGAAUCUCUGAAACAAAUCGGUUCCAAACAGUCAAGCCUGCCAGAAAAAACAGACAAACUCUCAAGAACAACAAUGCCUAUUAUGUGUGGUGGAGGAGCCGCCAGAUUUUGAUUACCGGACAGACAUUAACUCCUUUGGUGUCUCAUGCAAGAAAUGCCAAGUCUGAAUCCAGAUAUUUUCCAGAAUAGCAUGAGAUCUGCAAUUUACAGUGUCUUCUGCAAAAAAAAAAAAAAAAAAAAAAAAAAGCAACUGAGAGAAGGAAGUGCAAGUUAAAGACCACAUCUCCUGGUUUCUCGAAUUCUGCCAUGACUCUUCCUGGUAAAUGGACAGACUGAGUACCUGUGCUCUUCCUUUUGCAGGCCUUAGGUUGUGGGCCAGAAGCACGUUACUCUACCCACCUGUCCCACCUGUGUUGUCUUGAUGUCUAAAGGACUGUCACAUUCUGCCCUCAUUGAGAAAAUGCAUGGGUUCCUGGAGGCUACCUCUUACAGUAAAACUUUGAGAAAGAAGAAUCCUUGCAAACUCUGUGAUCAGCAUCAGCCCCCCCCCCCGCCCCAAUAGACUCCCUGAAGGCUGUCAGACUCCAUCCUGCUUUGAGAUCUCAGAUAAAGCAGAGAGCAAUGCGAUUUUCAGAGGGAGGAUGAUAAUAUAAGUAUUUAGACCAUCGUGUGUUAUUUCCAGUCCUUACUAAAAGAGGAACCAGGGAGACUGUGAACUCAGCCAGGUGGAAGUGAUAAUGAUUUUAGAGAAACCACAGGAGAAGGAAGAGCUCCUCCAACCGUCUUCUCACUACCACAAUGGGACCCUUAUGGAUUAACUCUUUCAAGGAUGGAGGUGUCUCCUCUCCCUAGAAAUAAAAAUGCAAGUUUUACGUAGGUUUUAGUGUUGUGUGGAGGGAAAACAAGGACUGAUCUAUUUGGUUCUCUUCACUUGAUUCACCCUGAAGGGCUUGCUGCCCUAGAGAUAAGUGGACAGAUGAAGAAAAGUAGUAUCCCCAGAUACCCCGAUGAAGCCAAUGCUCUCUGAAAGGAAGCAGCCACACAUUUAGCCCAGGGAGACCUUUUUGCAUCCAGGAGAGUGAUUUGGGUCAAAGAAAAGGAGAACAGUGACAUUACUGCCAGACUGCUUCUCUAACUAAACCUUUAGCUCUUCUGUUCAGGACAAAUGGGAAUCAGCCAGCAUAGAUGUGACCUGUCCUGUCUGCUGGUAACCACAGUAUCAUAAUUCAUUGGAGUUUCACUUUAAGUAUUUUAAGAAUUACCUGUGAGAUUUUGAGGGUCAAUAUUUUAGACUAUCAUCACUAUUGGACUAUUCAUUUGAAUACUUCUGGGGUUUAUACCUCUUUUCAAAAGAAACAGUGGGCUUCCCUAUAUUCAUUACAAAGUCUUCCUAGUCUUCAAAUCUUCCUGUGAAGUGUCUCUUCUCUAGUCUUUUAAGUAUACCGUGUGACUGUAUGUCCUCCUAUGAGAAGUGUCUGUUCAGGUCCUUGGCCCAUUUGUUGAUUGGGUUGUUUGUUCUCUUAUUGUCUAAUUUUUUGAGUUCUUUGUAUACUCUGGAUAUUAGGGCUCUAUCUGAAGUGUGAGGAGUAAAGAUUUGUUCCCAGGGUGUAGGCUCCCUAUUUACCUCUCUUAUUGUUUCUUUUGCUGAGAAAAAACUUUUUAGUUUGAGUAAGUCCCAUUUGUUGAUUCUAGUUAUUAACUUUUGUGCUAUGGGUGUCCUAUUGAGGAAUUUGGAGCCCGACCCCACCAAAUGUAGAUCGUAGCCAACUUUUUCUUCUAUCAGACGGCGUGUCUCUGAUUUGAUAUCAAGCUCCUUGAUCCAUUUUGAAUUAACUUUUGUGCUUGGUGAGAGAAAGGGAUUCAGUUUCAUUUUGUUGCAUAUGGAUUUCCAGUUUUCCCAGCACCAUUUGUUGAAGAUGCUAUCCUUCCUCCAUUGCAUGCUUUUAGCCCCUUUAUCAAAUAUAAGAUAGUUGUAGUUUUGUGGAUUGGUUUCUGUGUCCUCUAUUCUGUACCAUUGGUCCACCCGCCUGUUUUGGUACCAGUACCAUGCUGUUUUUGUUACUAUUGCUCUGUAGUAUAGUUUGAAGUCUGGUAUCGCUAUACUGCCUGAUUCACACUUCCUGCUUAGCAUUGUUUUUGCUAUUCUGGGUCUUUUAGUUUUCCAUAUGAAUUUCAUGAUUGCUUUCUCUAUUUCUACAAGAAAUGCCGUUGGGAUUUUGAUUGGCAUUGCAUUAAACCUAUAGAGAACUUUGGGUAAUAUCGCCAUUUUGAUAAUGUUAGUUCUGCCUAUCCAUGAACAGGGUAUAUUUUUCCAUCUUCUAAGAUCUUCUUCUAUUUCUCUCUUUAGGGUUCUGUAGUUUUCAUUGUAUAAGUCUUUCACCUCUUUUGUUAGGUUGAUUCCCAAGUAUUUUAUUUUUUUUGAAGAUAUUUUGAAUGGAGUGGUUGUCCUCAUUUGCAUUUCAGAGGAUUUGUCGCUGAUAUACAGGAAUGCCUUUGAUUUAUGCGUGUUGAUUUUAUAUCCUGCCACUUUGCUGAAUUCAUUUAUUAGCUCUAAUAGUUUCUUUGUAGAGCCUUUUGGGUCUGCUAGGUAUAGAAUCAUAUCAUCUGCAAAUAGUGAUAAUUUAAGUUCUUCUUUUCCUGUUUUGAUGCCUUUAAUUUCUUUCGUCUGUCUAAUUGCUCUGGCCAGUGUUUCGAGAACUAUGUUGAAGAGAAGUGGAGAGAGAGGGCAUCCCUGUCUUGUUCCAGAUUUUAGAGGGAAUGCCUUCAGUUUUUCUCCAUUCAGAAUGAUUCUAGCCUGAGGCUUAGCAUAGAUUGCUUUUACAAUAUUGAGGUAUGUUCCUGUUAUCCCUAGUUUUUCUAGAGUUUUGAACAUAAAGGGAUGCUGUACUUUGUCGAAUGCUUUUUCCGCAUCUAUCGAGAUGAUCAUAUGGUUCUUAUUUUUAAGUCUAUUGAUGUGGUGAAUAACAUUUAUUGAUUUCUGUAUAUUGAACCAGCCUUGCAUCCCAGGGAUGAGUCCUACUUGAUCAUGGUGUACAAUUUUUUUGAUAUGUUUUUGUAUCCGAUUCGCCAGAAUUUUAUUGAGGAUUUUUGCAUCUAGGUUCAUUAGAGAUAUUGGUCUGUAGUUUUCUUUCUUUGAAGUGUCUUUGUCUGGUUUAGGUAUCAGGGUGAUGUUGGCCUCAUAGAAUGAAUUUGGAAGUUCUCCCUCUUUUUCUAUUCCCUGAAGUAGCUUGAAAAGUAUUGGUAUUAGUUCUUCUUUAAAGGUUUUGUAAAAUUCUGCUGUAUACCCAUCCGGUCCUGGGCUUUACUUAGUUGGUAGUCUUUUUAUGGUUUCUUCUAUUUCCUCAAUUGAUAUUGGUCUGUUUAGGUUUUCUAUAUCCUCCUGACUCAAUCUGGGCAGAUCAUAAAUGCUCAACAUCUCUAGCUGUCAGAGAAAUGCAAAUCAAAACCACCCUAAGAUACCAUCUCACUCCAGUAAGAUUGGCAGCCAUUAGGAAGUCAAACAACAACAAGUGCUGGCGAGGAUGUGGGGAAAAGGGUACACUUGUACAUUGCUGGUGGGACUGCAGAUUGGUGCAGCCAAUUUGGAAAGCAGUAUGGAGAUUUCUUGGAAAGCUGGGAAUGGAGCCACCAUUUGACCCAGCUAUUCCCCUUCUUGGUCUAUUCCCUAAAGACCUAAAAAGAGCAUGCUACAGGGACACUGCUACAUCGAUGUUCAUAGCAGCACAGUUCACAAUAGCAAGACUGUGGAACCAACCUAGAUGCCCUUCAAUAGACGAAUGGAUAAAAAAAAAAUGUGGCAUUUAUACACAGUGGAGUAUUACUCUGCAUUAAAAAAUGACAAAAUCAUAGAAUUUACAGGGAAAUGGAUGGCAUUAGAGCAGAUUAUGCUAAGUGAAGCUAGCCAAUCCCUAAAAAAACAAAUGCCAAAUGUCUUCUUUGAUAUAAGGAGAGUAACUAAGAUCAGAGUAGGGACGAAGAGCAGGAGAAGAAGAUUAACAUUUAACAGGGAUGAGAGGUGGGAGGGAAAGGGAGAGAGAAGGGAAAUUGCACGGUAAUGGAAGGAGACCCUCAGGGUUAUACAGUGG